rnacentral:rRNA from 1 species
AUUGAACGCUGGCGGCAUGCCUUACACAUGCAAGUCGAACGGUAACAGGGAGCUUGCUCCGCUGACGAGUGGCGAACGGGUGAGUAAUGUAUCGGAACGUACCAUUCAGUGGGGGAUAACGUAGCGAAAGUUACGCUAAUACCGCAUAUUCUGUGAGCAGGAAAGCAGGGGAUCGCAAGACCUUGCGCUGAUUGAGCGGCCGAUAUCAGAUUAGCUAGUUGGUGAGGUAAAGGCUCACCAAGGCGACGAUCUGUAGCGGGUCUGAGAGGGAUGAUCCGCCACACUGGAACUGAGACACGGUCCAGACUCCUACGGGAGGCAGCAGUGGGGAAUUUUGGACAAUGGGGGCAACCCUGAUCCAGCCAUGCCGCGUGAGUGAAGAAGGCCUUCGGGUUGUAAGCUCUUUCGGCCGGGAAAAAUCGCAUCAGUUAAUACCUGGUGUGGAUGAUGGUACCGGAAUAAGAAGCACCGGCUAACU